GUAGGUGAACCUGCGGAAGGAUCAUUAUUGUUUGGGGACUCUGUCCUCCUUACGAUUCACCCUUGCUUUUUUUUGCGCACCCUUUGUUUCCUCGGCAGCUUUGCCUGCCAAUGAGGACCCCCUAAAACCCUUUUGCAAUCUUAGUAUAACGUUCUGAAAACAAACAAUAUUAAAACUUUCAACAAUGGAUCUCUUGGCUCUGGCA
rnacentral:misc_RNA from 1 species